GCCUCGGCCUCUCCAUUCCAACCUCCUCUCUCUCCGAUCCCCACACCAAACACCAGAGGAGGAGGAGGCGGUGGUGGUGGCCGAGGAGGAGGAGAUCGUGGUGGGAGGAGGUGCUGGUGGUGGUGGCGGAGGUGGGGAAUGGAGGAAGGCCUGCGGCGGCUGCUGCUGCUGGUGGUGAUCAGCAGCGAUUAAGUGAUGCUGCUGGAGGCGUUGAUGGCGCCAUGGCCAAGGCGAAGGAGGUGGUGGUGGUGCUCCUGCUGCUGCUGGAGGAGCGGAUGCUGAAGACGGGUUCUUUGUUGUGGCCAAGACCAAGAUAAACCACCUCCGGUGUUCAAUGAACAGAUGUGCUAGCGCUUUUUUCAACAAGGCAGAUGGACUCAAGUUGACUUGUAUUUGGGAAAGUUUCUGAAGGCCGCUGGAGAAUCUCCCGAGGUGCAUCCAGUUUUGCUGCUUUCGGCAUGCCGGGAGAUUGCCUUGAGCAUGCUGCGGAACGUCAGCUUAGAGUUGGCAAUAGGAUUGUACAACUCAUUGAUCAGACCACUGUGGCAUGAUGCUGGCCAAUUCAUUCCGUUCUCUGGAUUUGUGAGGAGGGAGGUGGAAGCGAUCCGGAGAAACUGAAGGAGGGAGAUGGGAGCACUGAUCGGCCGGGCAAUCAGGAGAGCAUGAUAGAACAUGGAAGAUAUCUUGGAUUAAUCCGGAUCUACAUCUCGGAAAGUGUUGGGUAAUGAACUAUCUAUCUAGUCCUCAUCCGAUCCUCUAUUCAUUAGCUUAGGGUCACUGUAACAUGCAUUAUUAGCUUAAAUGUUAUCCUUCGUUUAGCUUAAAUCAGCUCAACGAUAGUAAAAAAACAAUUUCUCUGGAACUUCACUCUCAUACUGAGAGAUGAAAAGGUCUGGAAUUGGAUCAAUUCCUAACCAGCAGCGAUACUCAGCAGCAGUCGGGCUACAUAAAUAUAUGCUGAUCAUCCUCAACAUAAAGAAGAGAAUGAGCGUUAUGUUGGACAUAUCGAAUCGCUUCCUAUCACUACCAAUGCCGCAGUUUAUAAUACCAGCGAGAAAGUCUCUGCUAGCAAUACUUGAGUGCUACAAUAACUUCAUGAUCCUUAGAUUCCUCUCAAGGGUAUUCCUCUCAAGAGUGGUGUUGGGAACCGAGAUGACCCUAAUACUCACUAUGCUGAGCAUCUACACCUAAGACACACCAAUUCACUUUAGAGUCAGUUAGACUUUUCAAUUUCUAGCUACUUAGUGUAUAGGAUCAUUUCGAUGGCGCUUUUUCGCUUCCGGGUAGCAGAGCCUACCAAAAGAUGAAGCUGGCUUCCGGAAGGCAGAGCCUUCCUACGAUGAAGCUCAGACCAUUUGUGAUCUCGGGUGGCAGAGACAGCCUACAAUAGAUCACAUCUUAUACACUAACUAGGUGGGCCACCUGCGUAUUUGCGUGCUAGAUAUGUUAUAAGGUUACAUCCUUUAUUUUCUAUUGUAAUUUUGUGCUUUUAAAGCUAUGAGUAGAAACUAUAUUUUUUAUAUGUAAUUUUUAAAUAUUUAAACGUCAUAUCUCAUAUAUCUCAUUUAUGUAAACAUAUUAGAAACGUGUUACGGCGAGACACGUUGAGUUUAUUACUGUUUGCCCUGGUGGGUCCGACUUUAGCUAUAUUAGGCCGUGGCGACACCGCUACAUAUUGCAGCCGUGAUUGGCACCCAGCCAGAUGAGGAACAGUUCGUAUGUGCUUCACGAAAACAGUUUGAGUUCGUUUGCAUGCAGGAUAUAUAUCCAGCAAUAUAAUACGGAGGCCGCGGCCGGGCGUCGAGAGGACACGAGCUCGCGGUGUCAUCGUAUUGUUGGUUAAGGGGUAUUUUUGACUAAUUUUAUUAUAACGGUAGUGAUGAGUAAUUUACCUGGCUAAUAAGUUAAGGGGUAUUUUUGACUAAUUAUAUUAUAAUGAUGGUGGUGGGUAAUUUAUCUGGCUAUUAAGCUAGGGAGUAUUUUUGACUAAUUAUAUUAAAUUAUAUUAUAAUGUAGUGGUGGGUAAUUUAAAUUUCUCUUAUUUUCUCCGAUUAACGUGGGCUAGACCUUGAGAGCGGAUAUGGAGACUCUGUUUGUUGACCAAAUAAUAAGAUAAUAGAUUAAUUAGAAAUUGGAUACAAGGAAAUUCAAAUCUUUAUUCACAACUCAACUUGAUACAAUAUGAGAUGAUACUUACACUCUUUAUGUGGAUAUCAUAUCAUAACAUCACUACACUACAUGGCAAUCUUACCAUCUCCUACUUGAGACCUCUUAUGACAUGAUAUAGCAAGGGGGAGCGGGACACCCCUAUUUAUAGGACUCCAUGGUUCAUAUGAUGUUGCUAUGUGUCCAUCUUCUACACUUUUCUACAUUUCUAGAGCUUUCGCUAUCUUUAUCCUAUCAUACAAAUAUCUUUUCUUUAGAUAAUUUUACACUUCACCAUAAAAUAUGAUAGCAAUUACUUAUACUUGCUCUCCACUCUUCUAGAACCUUCUUACCUUGGUAUGAUCUUAUCCUCAUGCAUUACAAAGUUAGUUUCUUGUGAUUCCCACAAUCUUCUACAAUGUUUCAAGUAUGCAUUGCAUAUUUCAACAGACGCGCCAUCCAUUCUGCAGGUGGUACGGAUCUUCUUUUUUAGGCAUUCGUUGAAUUGGGUAGUGAGGUGCGAGGGAAUUGACUUUCUUGUUUUGUUUAGCUGUGGACAACCUAUUUGCGGAUAAAGAAGCCCUGAAUCUGUUCAUCUCCAUGCUUGGUUGUAGCUGGUGGCUGUUGCUGAUUUGUUAUGAAAGAAAAGUACUGCUAACUGAUUAGUGGCUGGUGACUAGUGGUUGAUGCUGAUUUGGUAUGCGAGAAAAAUACUGCUGGCUGGCUGGUAAGCCAAACGAACAGAGUGCAUAAGAAGAGUGAUGCCCUGUAGCAGCAGUGUUUUCAGGCAAUCGCUCCUCCGCCUCAAGGCGCGCAAGCUUCUGUCAAGUCUCGCCAGCUCCUGUUCAAGAAGUUAUGACAGCACCAUCCCCAUAGUUUCAGUCAGGAGUACGAGCAACAUUCUCCUUUUUGCUUCGUUCAGUUGGUGUCCAACACCAGAGCAAGAUCCUCCUUUUUGCUUCGUUCAGUUGGUGUCCAGCUCCAGAGCAGUUUGUGUGCCCUGU